rnacentral:rRNA from 1 species
AUACGGAGGGUGCAAGCGUUACUCGGAAUCACUGGGCGUAAAGGACGCGUAGGCGGGUUGGCAAGUCAGAUGUGAAAUCCUACAGCUUAACUGUAGAACUGCAUUUGAAACUGCUAACCUAGAGUAUGGGAGGGGGAGAUGGAAUUAGUGGUGUAGGGGUAAAAUCCGUAGAUAUCACUAGGAAUACCGAAGGCGAAGGCGAUCUCCUGGAACAUAACUGACGCUAAGGCGUGAAAGCGUGGGGAGCAAACAGGAUUAGAAACCCGAGUAGUCC